GCGCCCUUAGCUCAGCUGGAUAGAGCAUAUCUCUUCUAAAGAUAGGGUCGGUGAGUUCGAAUCUCCCAGGGCGCG
rnacentral:tRNA from 1 species